rfam:Anolis carolinensis unplaced genomic scaffold chrTn0053, whole genome shotgun sequence.
UUGUUUUUUUAGGUUUUGAUUUUUAUGCCAUCCUCAUGCGAAAAUCAAAACCUAAAGAAAAUG